CCUUCGAUAGCUCAGUUGGUAGAGCGGUGGACUGUAGUUGAGCAUACAAGGCAAUACAACAUCACACAUUAUAACAUUGUAACGAGAAAACAUAACAAGUAACUUUAAAGUUAAUUUCAUAACAAGUUUACACAAGUGUUUCGUCUGUACGGUCUGUAAGCAAUAGAAAUCCAUAGGUCACUGGUUCAAAUCCGGUUCGAAGGA
rnacentral:tRNA from 1 species